UAAAUUAUGCAGUUAUUGCUAGUCAGAAUGUGUGAUGCUGUUGUGGAUGCCCUCUUCCCGUAACAACGCGCUGAAACACUUCAACUAAAACCAAAUAAUUCACAAUGUUUUAUUAUAAUAGUGUUCUCAUUAUAAUAUAAUAUAUAUGACAGUCCCAAUCAUAGUUAUUAAUGUUGUGCGCUGCUGUUUGUGCUGCGUGCACUGAGCUAAAGAUGAUCACCUGUAAACUGAAGCGCU